rnacentral:rRNA from 2 species
AUUAGCGGCGGACGGGUGAGUAACACGUGGGCAACCUGCCUGUAAGACUGGGAUAACUUCGGGAAACCGGAGCUAAUACCGGAUAAUCCUUUCCCUCACAUGAGGGAAAGCUGAAAGACGGUUUCGGCUGUCACUUACAGAUGGGCCCGCGGCGCAUUAGCUAGUUGGUGAGGUAACGGCUCACCAAGGCGACGAUGCGUAGCCGACCUGAGAGGGUGAUCGGCCACACUGGGACUGAGACACGGCCCAGACUCCUACGGGAGGCAGCAGUAGGGAAUCUUCCGCAAUGGACGAAAGUCUGACGGAGCAACGCCGCGUGAGCGAAGAAGGCCUUCGGGUCGUAAAGCUCUGUUGUCAGGGAAGAACAAGUGCCGGAGUAACUGCCGGCACCUUGACGGUACCUGACCAGAAAGCCACGGCUAACUACGUGCCAGCAGCCGCGGUAAUACGUAGGUGGCAAGCGUUGUCCGGAAUUAUUGGGCGUAAAGCGCGCGCAGGCGGUCCUUUAAGUCUGAUGUGAAAGCCCACGGCUCAACCGUGGAGGGUCAUUGGAAACUGGGGGACUUGAGUGCAGAAGAGGAGAGUGGAAUUCCACGUGUAGCGGUGAAAUGCGUAGAGAUGUGGAGGAACACCAGUGGCGAAGGCGACUCUCUGGUCUGUAACUGACGCUGAGGCGCGAAAGCGUGGGGAGCGAACAGGAUUAGAUACCCUGGUAGUCCACGCCGUAAACGAUGAGUGCUAAGUGUUAGAGGGUUUCCGCCCUUUAGUGCUGCAGCAAACGCAUUAAGCACUCCGCCUGGGGAGUACGGCCGCAAGGCUGAAACUCAAAGGAAUUGACGGGGGCCCGCACAAGCGGUGGAGCAUGUGGUUUAAUUCGAAGCAACGCGAAGAACCUUACCAGGUCUUGACAUCCUCUGACAACCCUAGAGAUAGGGCGUUCCCCUUCGGGGGACAGAGUGACAGGUGGUGCAUGGUUGUCGUCAGCUCGUGUCGUGAGAUGUUGGGUUAAGUCCCGCAACGAGCGCAACCCUUGAUCUUAGUUGCCAGCAUUCAGUUGGGCACUCUAAGGUGACUGCCGGUGACAAACCGGAAGAAGGUGGGGAUGACGUCAAAUCAUCAUGCCCCUUAUGACCUGGGCUA